AUUGAACGCUGGCGGAAUGCUUUACACAUGCAAGUCGAACGGCAGCACGGGUGCUUGCACCUGGUGGCGAGUGGCGAACGGGUGAGUAAUAUAUCGGAACGUAUCCAAUAAUGGGGGAUAACUAAUCGAAAGGUUGGCUAAUACCGCAUACGCCCUACGGGGGAAAGCUAGGGACCUUCGGGCCUGGCGUUAAUGGAGCGGCCGAUAUCUGAUUAGCCAGUUGGUGGGGUAAUGGCCUACCAAGGCGACGAUCAGUAGCUGGUCUGAGAGGACGACCAGCCACACUGGAACUGAGACGCGGUCCAGACUCCUACGGGGGGCAGCAGUGGGGAAUUUUGGACAAUGGGCGCAAGCCUGAUCCAGCCAUUCCGCGUGAGUGAAGAAGGCCUUCGGGUUGUAAAGCUCUUUCGCAAGGGAAGAAAACUUAUCCUCUAACAUAGGAUGAGGUUGACGGUACCUUGAUAAGAAGCACCGGCUAACUACGUGCCAGCAGCCGCCGUAAGAC
rnacentral:rRNA from 1 species